GUUUAUUUGUAGAUGUAAACGUGUCAUGAAGUAAAGUGAUUUUUUUUCCUCACUUUCUGGCAGGGUGGGCAAGGAGAUCGUGGUGAACCCGGUUAUCCAGGAGAUCCUGGCCUACAAGGCUCACAGGGUCUAAGAGGACCACAAGGGGUCAGAGGCCCUCCAGGACCACAAGGAAUACCAGGCCCUCAGGUUAAUCCAGGAGCACCAGGUGCAGCAGGCUCUCCUGGGAAUCCAGGGCCUAGAGGACCAAAGGUAAGCAUUUUAAGAAAUAC